AUGGGGCCCUGGUCACCCUCUUCCCUUUCUCUUUCCGUGUGUCUCGUAUGUCUCCGCACCGCCAUGAACCACCCUUGCGAGGCGCUGGGCCUGCCGCACAUCUCUGGCAUGUGCCAGCCGCACCGGAGCUGCAACAUCACCGAGGACACGGGGCUCCCGCUGGCCUUCCCUGUGGCGCACGAACUGGGACACAGUGGGAUCCCCCUCUGCGCCUUCCCUCGUUCCAAUGAAAGGAUGGAAGUUUUCCACAAACGUUUUGGUCUGCAUCACUUCCGUACAAACCAGCAAGAGGCCAUCAAUGCCACUCAGCUGGGCGAAGACUUUUUCAUCUUGAUGCCGACAGGUGAGAGAUGAGGAAUUCGCUUUGACAGAUUAUUAUUAUUAUUAUUAUUAUUAUUAUUAUUA
rnacentral:lncRNA from 11 species